CAAUUUAAGGUGAGAAUUGUCCAGUCUACGGCUUUCCUUCCAAAGUAUCCAUUGGAUCUUAUCGGGUUAUUUUCUGUAUAUUUUAAGGUGAAUAUUGAUAUCUUCCCUUGAAAACAACUGCGAAAGUAUUUGGAUAAUCGGGCUUUCUUUCUUUACAAUUUAAGGUAAUUUCCACAAAUUUUCCGACCAUUUUUUUGGUCCUGCUCGUCGGG